AGACGAAAUGACUCUUGAUUUUACAUUCUUUAUUUUUAUAUUUUCUAUUUUUUGUAACAAGAUACAAUAUUGUACAAAAGUUGCAUUAACUGAGUACAAGGCCGCAGACAACUUUUUUUGAUGUUCUAGGAUUAUAUUUUACUUAAAUGUUAUUAUAAUAAUUAUUAAAAUAGAAUAUUUUAAUCAAUAGUUUAUUGCAUAAAUUAUUGAUUAAAAUAUUCUAAAGUAUCACUUAAACUGGUAAAAAAAAAAAAAACGAGGUGUAUCUCGUUUUUUAACAACAGGUAAUCAGUAAGUAUAACUUAUACAUACUGCUUACCUGCUGUUAAGUAUUAUGGCUGUAUAUUAAGUUUUCUGAAUUAUUUUUUUUAAUGAGCUGUAUAUAGGCUAUAUACUGCUAUAUUAUAGCAGUUAAAUAAUAUUCUAAAUAUGUCAAUUGUUGUGUCUUUAGAUGUACAAAUUAAACUGGAUCAAAAAAUAGUUUAAAUAAAAAGGUUUCUUUUUACAAAUUUCGAAAAGAUAUAGAAAAGAAAAAUAACAAGGUUCAUAACAUUGGGCAAGAAAAUGACAUACCUCCUUCAAAUGUCACACUUUGCUCAGACCAUUUUGAAAAAUCUUGUUUUGAUAAGACUACACAAACAAUUCAUUUGAAGCAAAAUUCUGAUCAAACAGUUUUUACAUUUCCAAAACAAUCUUCAAAGUAAAUAGAAAAAGAAAAGCACCAUCUGUAAACUUGACUUCUACUGAAAAUGAAGGUGUUGAAAGUUCAUUAAAUGAUGCGAAUAGAAACUUUCCACCAUUAAAAGUGCAAGAAAAACAAAAUUUGCAAUUUAAAAUCAAAAUUAAAAAGUGCUCAGCAAAAGCUGCCUCAAAUCUGAAGUCAUGUUUUUAAAGAAGGUUUUUUUAAUGCCUUAAAAUUAAUAACUUAAUUUUAUCUCAAUAUGAAGAAAUGCUUACAACAACAUUUUCAGAAGUACCUCUAGAAUUUAUGGAAAAAGUUUUAUUAAUAAAAAAUCCACAUUGUUUCAGAAAUUAAUUUCUUGACAAACUGCAAACUUUUGCAAUGACUUUGCAAUUUUAUUCUUCUAAAGCAUAUGAGUUUGUUCGAAAGACUUUUCAAUUGGCACUACUAUAUCAAUCUCAAAUAAGACAUUGGUACACCAAAGUACCAGUUGAACCUGGAUUUACCAUGCUGCUUUUAUUGCUCUGCAAGCUGCUGUAUGUGCCUCAAAAAAAAAAAAAGCAGAUUGUGAGGUUUUGUUUUCCCUUAUUCUUGGCAAUAAGGAAGCAGGUAAAAUAGGAUGGAAAGAAAUUUGGAGGAUUUGUUUGUCUUGGAAAUGGGAUUGAAAAUGAUGAUUCUUUAUCAUUGGCAAAAGAUGUACUUGUUCUAAGUUCUUUUUGAUGUUAGUGUAAAAGUUUUUUUACUAAUUUGUGAUGGUCCAUCAUACAACUUUGCAAUGCUUUCUGAACUUUUUCUGCAAUUUUAAAACCAAGUUUUCCAAGUAAAUAAAAAAGUGUUUGUUCUUGUUGAGUUUAUUUACAUAGUAGAUCAAUUAUAUAACAUAUUAGACUCAAGAAACCCAUUUUCCAAAGGAUACAAGUCAGUAUUGUGUGCAAGGCUUUUUGGUUUCCAUUUUUUGACAUGGCAUGUAGUUAUAUCAUAAGUCUUAAAGAUACUAAUGGUACGUAAAUGAUUUUCUCUAGUCAAAAAACUGGUUUUAUUGAUAGCAAUUAAAUUUGUUCAAGGUAUAUUUCUCAGUUGAAAAAAAAAAGUUUAACAUUAAACUAUAUAUAUUUACAUAUAAGCUCAGUCAAGACCAUCUAGAGCUCUUUUUUGGUGCUGUGAGAUCUGCAGAAUUGUUUAAGAGCAAUCCCAAUUGCCAAUAGUUCACAGCCACGGAUAAACGACUCUUGAUGCAUUAAGUACUCUUUAAGUAGCAUUCAAUGUUUAAAUGGAAACUGCAGCAUCAGUAAUAAAACUCAUAUAUUAAAUGUUUAAGACAAUUCUUUUGCUGGCUUCAACAAAAGAAUCUUGCUUACUUCAACAGAUAGCGAACUUCCAAAAGAAAUAGGCAUUCAAAAUGCAUUUUCAAGUGUUGUUUUGAGAACAAUGGAUUUCUCAAAAAUUUUCAAUGAACUAGCUCCUCAUAUGUUUGACUCAGCUAUAAGUGAUAACCAUAUAUUUUCGCUGCUUCAACUCAUUUCAGAGAACUAUGCAAUAAUACACCUUGAUCUCCUUGGAAAAGAACAAACUACCAAACUAACUGGAAAAAAGCUUUGGAAGCAAUUGACAAAACUUGGCUUAUUCGCUCACACACAUGCAUAUGUUUAGUGAUUUUGAUUUAAGUACAACUAAAUACAAAAUAAGGUACAAAUAGUUAUAUAUAAAACUCUAGAAGGAACCUCUGAGUUGUGCAUACUCACAGAACUCAGCUAAUAGUUCAUACAGCAUUUGUAAAUUUGUGAUAUCUAUUUGAAAAACUAAUUUCAUAAUAGUUUAUUUUAAAAAGAUAUUCAGCUGCUUACCAUGCAAUUGAGUUAUUAACCUUCUAGCACACAGCAUUGGUAGUUGAGAACUAAAAGGUGCAUAAAUUGUAUUAGAAACAAUAUUAAGUAAUUAAUUUUAGUAAAAGUAAAAUUAAAAGAAAUUAAAUAAAUAAAAAAAUGAUUAAAAUUAUUUUUUUUUUAUUCAAAUUUGAAAUAAUUUUUUAAAAAUUGGUAGGUAAUUGAAAAUGUGGAUAACUACUAGGCUCUUUUUUUUUUUUUACUUCUACUAAUAGG